rnacentral:rRNA from 1 species
GAUGAACGCUGGCGGCGUGCUUAACACAUGCAAGUCGAACGAAGUUUUUUGAGAGCUUGCUCUUAAAAAACUUAAGUGGCGGACGGGUGAGUAACGCGUGGGUAACCUGCCUUAUACUGUGGAAUAAUCACUGGAAACGGUGACUAAUACCGCAUGUCGUCUUUUGAGGGCAUCCUCGAAAGAAAAAGGAUUUAUUCGGUAUAAGAUGGACCCGCGUCUGAUUAGCUAGUUGGUGAGAUAACAGCCCACCAAGGCAACGAUCAGUAGCCGACCUGAGAGGGUGAUCGGCCACAUUGGGACUGAGACACGGCCCAAAACUCCUACGGGAGGCAGCAGUGGGGAAUAUUGCAUAAUGGAGGAAACUCUGAUGCAGCAACG